GCAGCGCCUCAGGCCUCGCCCGCCUGCCCGCGGUGUUCGUGGCGCCCGCGCAGGCGCUGCUACUGGCGGCUCUCGCACCCCCCGGGGAAGGAAGGGGCAGUGGGGAGGGGGAGGGGGAGGGAGCGCUGCUACCUAGGUAAUGUGACAUGUUGGGGCGAACAGAUAUGAAGGGGUGUACAUUUGUCCAGGUAGAAUGAUACAAAUGGGGAGGGAAAAUACUUGCCCGGCUAGAGAUACACAUAUGGGAGGGAGACACCUGACCAGGUAGGAUAACACAUGUGGGGGGGGAGAACACUUGCCCAGGUAGGGUGACACAUGAGGGAAAAGAGAAAACUUGCCCAGGUAGGUGACACAUGUGGGGGGAACACUUGGUAGAAUGACAUGUAUGCGGGGAAGAACACUUGUCCAGGUAUGCCAGGGUCGGAGAGGAACAGACUUGGGAUCGUCAGGAGGACCAAGCAAUGCCUUUGAUUGGUGGAAUUACUUGAAAUUCAAUCAAUUUGAAAUUUUUUGAAAGAGUACAGUUGCUAUAUUCUGAAAACGAUUCGAUUUGAUUAAAAACCUUCUAAUACUCAAAUAAUUGUGUUUUGUUUUUCUCACGGACUCUUAAUACUCGAACAUGUUGUGUUCAAAGUGUAACGGUUCGUAAGCAAAACAAAUCGUUUUCUGAAUAUAGUAACCAGAUUUAAAUCAAUUAGAUAUAAAUGUUGUUUUUCCUCAAUACUUCAAAUGUGUAACUUACUGUUAAGUACAAACUUGCUUCCAGUUGUUGCUUGUUUUCCACUUGAUACGCGUUUUUGACAUUCUUGGG
rnacentral:misc_RNA from 1 species